rnacentral:tRNA from 1 species
UCUUUAAUAGCUUAAAUUAAAGCAAAGCAUUGAAGCUGCUUAGAUUUACCUAAAGAA